CCUAGAUGACGUCUGCUUCCAAAAGAAUGUUGCUUAAUCUACAUUGAAAAUGUAUUGUUUAGUGUAGCCUGAGCAAGAUAGUGAGGGGCUCACCUACCUAAUCAAAACUAAAUUUCUCCGGACUAAGUAGUUAAUUUACCAGAAACCACUGCCCAUUAUCUUUUGCAAACAAAGCAAGGUAACAUGCAUUUUUAUGUAUGUUUGUAUUGCAUAUCUUUUUUAUUAGCAUAUAAAGCCAAAGAUAGCAGGAGCCUUGAUGCUUUAUUGACUAACAUAUCUCCACUGUGUAUAAUAGUGCCUGGCACAGAGCAGAUGUUCAAUAAAUAUUUAUAGGAUGAGCCAGU
rnacentral:lncRNA from 1 species